ACUUACGGGCCACACCUCCCUGGAGCACGCCCGAUCUCGUCUGAUCGUCGGAAGCUAAUCAGGGUCGGGCCCGGUUAGUACUUGGAUGGGAGACCGCCUGGGAAUACCAAGGUGCUGUAAGCC
rnacentral:rRNA from 1 species